rnacentral:rRNA from 1 species
UUAAGCGACUAAGCGUACACGGUGGAUGCCCUGGCAGUCAGAGGCGAUGAAGGACGUGCUAAUCUGCGAAAAGCGUCGGUAAGGUGAUAUGAACCGUUACAGCCGGCGAUGUCCGAAUGGGGAAACCCAGUGCAAUUCGUUGCACUAUCGUUAACUGAAUACAUAGGUUAACGAGGCGAACCGGGGGAACUGAAACAUCUAAGUACCCCGAGGAAAAGAAAUCAACCGAGAUUCCCCCAGUAGCGGCGAGCGAACGGGGAGCAGCCCAGAGUCUGAAUCAGCUUGUGUGUUAGUGGAACGGUCUGGAAAGUCCGACGGUACAGGGUGAUAGUCCCGUACACCAAAAUGCACAGGCUGUGAACUCGAAGAGUAGGGCGGGACACGUGGUAUCCUGUCUGAAUAUGGGGGGACCAUCCUCCAAGGCUAAAUACUCCUGACUGACCGAUAGUGAACCAGUACCGUGAGGGAAAGGCGAAAAGAACCCCGGCGAGGGGAGUGAAAAAGAACCUGAAACCGUGUACGUACAAGCAGUGGGAGCACCUUCGGGUGUGACUGCGUACCUUUUGUAUAAUGGGUCAGCGACUUAUAUUCUGUAGCAAGGUUAACCGUAUAGGGGAGCCGCAGGGAAACCGAGUCUUAACUGGGCGUUAAGUUGCAGGGUAUAGACCCGAAACCCGGUGAUCUAGCCAUGGGCAGGUUGAAGGUUGGGUAACACUAACUGGAGGACCGAACCGACUAAUGUUGAAAAAUUAGCGGAUGACUUGUGGCUGGGGGUGAAAGGCCAAUCAAACCGGGAGAUAGCUGGUUCUCCCCGAAAGCUAUUUAGGUAGCGCCUCGUGAAUUCAUCUUCGGGGGUAGAGCACUGUUUCGGCUAGGGGGUCAUCCCGACUUACCAACCCGAUGCAAACUACGAAUACCGAAGAAUGUUAUCACGGGAGACACACGGCGGGUGCUAACGUCCGUCGUGAAGAGGGAAACAACCCAGACCGCCAGCUAAGGUCCCAAAGUCAUGGUUAAGUGGGAAACGAUGUGGGAAGGCACAGACAGCCAGGAUGUUGGCUUAGAAGCAGCCAUCAUUUAAAGAAAGCGUAAUAGCUCACUGGUCGAGUCGGCCUGCGCGGAAGAUGUAACGGGGCUAAACCAUGCACCGAAGCUGCGGCAGCGACACUAUGUGUUGUUGGGUAGGGGAGCGUUCUGUAAGCCUGCGAAGGUGACCUGUGAGGGUUGCUGGAGGUAUCAGAAGUGCGAAUGCUGACAUAAGUAACGAUAAAGCGGGUGAAAAGCCCGCUCGCCGGAAGACCAAGGGUUCCUGUCCAACGUUAAUCGGGGCAGGGUGAGUCGACCCCUAAGGCGAGGCCGAAAGGCGUAGUCGAUGGGAAACAGGUUAAUAUUCCUGUACUUGGUGUUACUGCGAAGGGGGGACGGAGAAGGCUAUGUUAGCCGGGCGACGGUUGUCCCGGUUUAAGCAUGUAGGCUGGUUAUCCAGGCAAAUCCGGAUAAUCAAGGCUGAGGUGUGAUGACGAGGCACUACGGUGCUGAAGUAACAAAUGCCCUGCUUCCAGGAAAAGCCUCUAAGCAUCAGGUAACAUCAAAUCGUACCCCAAACCGACACAGGUGGUCAGGUAGAGAAUACCAAGGCGCUUGAGAGAACUCGGGUGAAGGAACUAGGCAAAAUGGUGCCGUAACUUCGGGAGAAGGCACGCUGGUGUGUAGGUGAAGUCCCUGCGGAUGGAGCUGAGACCAGUCGAAGAUACCAGCUGGCUGCAACUGUUUAUUAAAAACACAGCACUGUGCAAACACGAAAGUGGACGUAUACGGUGUGACGCCUGCCCGGUGCCGGAAGGUUAAUUGAUGGGGUUAUCCGUAAGGAGAAGCUCUUGAUCGAAGCCCCGGUAAACGGCGGCCGUAACUAUAACGGUCCUAAGGUAGCGAAAUUCCUUGUCGGGUAAGUUCCGACCUGCACGAAUGGCGUAAUGAUGGCCAGGCUGUCUCCACCCGAGACUCAGUGAAAUUGAACUCGCUGUGAAGAUGCAGUGUACCCGCGGCAAGACGGAAAGACCCCGUGAACCUUUACUAUAGCUUGACACUGAACAUUGAGCCUUGAUGUGUAGGAUAGGUGGGAGGCUUUGAAGCGUGGACGCCAGUCUGCGUGGAGCCAACCUUGAAAUACCACCCUUUAAUGUUUGAUGUUCUAACGUUGGCCCCUGACCGGGGUUGCGGACAGUGUCUGGUGGGUAGUUUGACUGGGGCGGUCUCCUCCCAAAGCGUAACGGAGGAGCACGAAGGUUAGCUAAUCCUGGUCGGACAUCAGGAGGUUAGUGCAAUGGCAUAAGCUAGCUUGACUGCGAGCGUGACGGCGCGAGCAGGUGCGAAAGCAGGUCAUAGUGAUCCGGUGGUUCUGAAUGGAAGGGCCAUCGCUCAACGGAUAAAAGGUACUCCGGGGAUAACAGGCUGAUACCGCCCAAGAGUUCAUAUCGACGGCGGUGUUUGGCACCUCGAUGUCGGCUCAUCACAUCCUGGGGCUGAAGUAGGUCCCAAGGGUAUGGCUGUUCGCCAUUUAAAGUGGUACGCGAGCUGGGUUUAGAACGUCGUGAGACAGUUCGGUCCCUAUCUGCCGUGGGCGCUGGAGAAUUGAGGGGGGCUGCUCCUAGUACGAGAGGACCGGAGUGGACGCAUCACUGGUGUUCGGGUUGUCAUGCCAAUGGCACUGCCCGGUAGCUAAAUGCGGAAGAGAUAAGUGCUGAAAGCAUCUAAGCACGAAACUUGCCCCGAGAUGAGUUCUCCCUGAGACUUUAAGUCUCCUGAAGGAACGUU